UAGAUUUGAUGUUGGUUCAAAUGAAUUUAAUUAUAGUUCUGGGUCGCUACUUUUUUCCUUAUACGAACAGGGUCUUUAGUCUGCUUCACUAGAUUUGGGUUUAUAUAGUGAAUGGAAUCACUCUGUUCUAAAGGAUAUGGUACAAGUAGAAUCUAUCUGGGUUUGAGAGCCAUGAGAUUCUUAGUGUUCUAUCUUUCUCUGAUUCUAG
rnacentral:lncRNA from 1 species